rnacentral:rRNA from 1 species
UGAGGAGGUGUACCGUGAGGAGUGCUGGAACGCAUAGAAGUGAGAAUGCCGGUAUGAGUAGCGAAAGACAGGUGAGAAUCCUGUCCACCGUAAGACUAAGGUUUCCAGGGGAAGGCUCGUCCGCCCUGGGUUAGUCGGGACCUAAGGAGAGACCGAAAGGUGUAUCCGAUGGACAACAGGUUGAUAUUCCUGUACUAGAGUAUGUAGUGAUGGAGGGACGCAGUAGGCUAACUAAAGCAGACGAUUGGAAGAGUCUGUCUAAGCAGUGAGGUGUGAAUUGAGUUAAAUGC